UGGAGAGUUUGAUCCUGGCUCAGGAUGAACGCUGGCGGCGUGCCUAAUACAUGCAAGUCGAACGCGCAGCGAGAGGUGCUUGCACCUUUCAAGCGAGUGGCGAACGGGUGAGUAACACGUGGAUAACCUGCCUCAAGGCUGGGGAUAACAUUUGGAAACAGAUGCUAAUACCGAAUAAAACUUAGUAUCGCAUGAUAUAAAGUUAAAAGGCGCUACGGCGUCACCUAGAGAUGGAUCCGCGGUGCAUUAGUUAGUUGGUGGGGUAAAGGCUUACCAAGACAAUGAUGCAUAGCCGAGUUGAGAGACUGAUCGGCCACAUUGGGACUGAGACACGGCCCAAACUCCUACGGGAGGCUGCAGUAGGGAAUCUUCCACAAUGGGCGCAAGCCUGAUGGAGCAACGCCGCGUGUGUGAUGAAGGCUUUCGGGUCGUAAAGCACUGUUGUAUGGGAAGAAAUGCUAAAAUAGGGAAUGAUUUUAGUUUGACGGUACCAUACCAGAAAGGGACGGCUAAAUACGUGCCAGCAGCCGCGGUA
rnacentral:rRNA from 1 species